rnacentral:rRNA from 1 species
CGGAGGGAAACCGAGUCUUAAUUGGGCGUUAAGUUGCAGGGUAUAGACCCGAAACCCGGUGAUCUAGCCAUGGGCAGGUUGAAGGUUGGGUAACACUAACUGGAGGACCGAACCGACUAAUGUUGAAAAAUUAGCGGAUGACCUGUGGCUGGGGGUGAAAGGCCAAUCAAACCGGGAGAUAGCUGGUUCUCCCCGAAAGCUAUUUAGGUAGCGCCUCGUGAAUUCAUCUCCGGGGGUAGAGCACUGUUUCGGCUAGGGGGCCAUCCCGGCUUACCAACCCGAUGCAAACUGCGAAUACCGGAGAAUGUUAUCACGGGAGACACACGGCGGGUGCUAACGUCCGUCGUGAAGAGGGAAACAACCCAGACCGCCAGCUAAGGUCCCAAAGUCAUGGUUAAGUGGGAAACGAUGUGGGAAGGCCCAGACAGCCAGGAUGUUGGCUUAGAAGCAGCCAUCAUUUAAAGAAAGCGUAAUAGCUCACUGGUCGAGUCGGCCUGCGCGGAAGAUGUAACGGGGCUAAACCAUGCACCGAAGCUGCGGCAGCGAACGUAUCACCCAAGACAACUUUACGGAGUUGACGAUUGACGGAGCGAAGCGACGUCAAAGCGUUCAUUAAAGUCGAGUUGGCUUAGGGAUACGUUCGUUGGGUAGGGGAGCGUUCUGUAAGCCUGUGAAGGUGUGUCGUGAGGCAUGCUGGAGGUAUCAGAAGUGCGAAUGCUGACAUAAGUAACGAUAAAGCGGGUGAAAAGCCCGCUCGCCGGAAGACCAAGGGUUCCUGUCCAACGUUAAUCGGGGCAGGGUGAGUCGACCCCUAA